AGAUGAUGGAUGAGAUAAACUUGAAUGGUGCUUCUAAUGGCGGCAACAACAGUGACGAUGAGGUAGUGGUUGGAGAGGAUGAAGAAUUGGAUGAAAGUAAAAACACUAUGAAUGAUACAUCUAGCUCUAGCACAAACUUCUUCAGUGGAUUACCGGGUAGCAAUUCCGGGAAUGGAGGUGCUUUGAACUUUGAAAGUGAAAAGGCAAGCGCUUCAAAUGAUAUGGGUUUCUUCAGAUUUGAGGCAUCAGACAAGGAAGAGUGUUUUGGUGAUAGGCCUUUGCCUGAUUGGGUGGGUUGGGGCGAACCUUCAGAUAUGCAAGUUACUGGCGCCGGCAUGAAUCCCUUUAUGGAUCAUGAUGAUGAGUCUGGUAGCAACCUUUCUACCAAGGCUCAAAUAGGUAGCUCUAAUUCUAGUUCUCCAAAAUCGGAAUCUGUUUUGUCGAAUGGGUCACCAUCUAGUAAAGAUUUGAUCGAUGGGGUUGGCGACUCAACUCAAAGAUCAUCAGCAGUACCUUCACUAUUUGAGGAGGAUGUUGAAUUUGUAGGCGUAGAAUUAGAAGGAACUGAAAAGGCUAUGGAACAGGCUCUGAAGGAGGGUAUAGUUGGAGAAGCAGGACCAUUGAAAAGAAACGCGUCUCCAAAAGCGGCAGAAAAGGAAAAUUCCGAAGAGGGUAAUCCUGGGAUGAAGGAAUUCAAUGAUGCGAAUUACUGGAGGGUUGACCAAGAGGUUGCUGUUCUGGAGUGAUUAGCAUAAUGGUAAAUCAUGCUUUUUGCUGUAUGGAAAGUUGGACACCAAAACCAGUGGAUCUGAUUCUUGGUUUGCAGGAGCGGCGUAUGCAGCAAACUAAUGUACAGUAUAAUUUUGUUUUAAUUAUGUCUUAUUUAUUUUCACGCUUACUAGAUAUUGAGCUUGUUUAUUAUUCU
rnacentral:lncRNA from 1 species